GGCUGCGGCUGCACCGGAGUGGGAGUGCCCAAUAGCAUCCACUCUUGAAAGCUAAGCAGGUCCGUGCCUGGUUAGUACUUGGACGGAGGACUGAUUUGUAAGACCAGCGGCUGCUAUCC
rnacentral:rRNA from 12 species